CUGUCUUCUGUCCACAGCCAGCACCUCGGCCAGGGUCCACUGCUGUUCUGCUGGGGCUUCUCCACUCCUGCUGGGAGGCCUGCCUUUGGAAACAAUCCUACCAGGUUCUGAAUUCCUGUGUCGUUUGUCCCUACCCCCUCCGGGGCUGAGGCUUGCCUGACAGACAUCUUUGGUUUAACAUGGAGGUCUGAAUAAGAUCUGAAAUGAGAGCUCAGAAAGGCUGUAACAUCAGUGACAGUGUACAACAAGACAGACAGGAAGCCAUUUCAUAGAGGUGGAGAAGGAAACUUACUCUCCCACUUUGAUUCUAAAUGGAGGUGAAAGAAGAAAGACAUCUAAAAGUACAGAGCCAGCGGAUAUAGGGACCUUGGCCUGCUCAGCCACGUGCUUCCUGCAUGAUUCCAGCUACCAGUGAGGAAUGUCAUGCCCCCCUGGGACCUUGGCCCACACCCAGCGGACGCCCAGACCCAGGACAUCUACUGGCCCCUUGGGGACACUCCCUACCUCCUGGGCCUAAUACUGCUGUUGAUCUUCAGCUCCAACCUUUCUCCCAGGACUACAGCGGAUUAACUGUGCUAGCCUGAAGGGAGAUUCAGUAACUGCCUCACCCAAACAGAAGAUCUCAGCAGGCUCCUGUCAGUGUGAUAGACCAAUGAAGACUUUUCAACUCAUUAAGUAAUUAGUAACCAUUGCCAGGAGGGGAGAAAGUACAAAAAG